rnacentral:rRNA from 1 species
GCCAGCAGCCAUAUCACCCUGAAACUCAUAACUGGCAAAAUACUGAAGCUAAGCAUGUGUGAACCUGGUCAGUACCUGGAUGGGAGACCUCCUGGGAAAAACUAAGGUUGCUGGUG